rnacentral:rRNA from 1 species
UUAUUUGAGAGUUUGAUCCUGGCUCAGGAUGAACGCUGGCGGCGUGCCUAACACAUGCAAGUUGAGCGAUUUACUUCGGUAAAGAGCGGCGGACGGGUGAGUAACGCGUGGGUAACCUACCCUGUACACACGGAUAACAUACCGAAAGGUAUGCUAAUACGGGAUAAUAUAUUUGAGAGGCAUCUCUUAAAUAUCAAAGGUGAGCCGGUACAGGAUGGACCCGCGUCUGAUUAGCUAGUUGGUAAGGUAACGGCUUACCAAGGCGACGAUCAGUAGCCGACCUGAGAGGGUGAUCGGCCACAUUGGAACUGAGACACGGUCCAAACUCC